GGCAGUGGCAGCUCAGUAGUUAAGAUGUUGAACUUCUGUUCAGAAGGUCAUGAGUUCAAAUCCCAGCACUGCCA